GUGAGGAAUAUUGGACAAUGGGCGCAAGCCUGAUCUAGCCAUGCCGCGUGCAGGAAGACGCAUCUAUGGUGUGUAAACUGCUUUUGUACGGGAAGAAACACUCCCUCGUGAGGGAGCUUGACGGUACCGUAAGAAUAAGGAUCGGCUAACUCCGUGCCAGCAGCCGCGGUAAUACGGAGGAUCCAAGCGUUAUCCGGAAUCAUUGGGUUUAAAGGGUCCGUAGGCGGUUUAAUAAGUCAGUGGUGAAAGCCCAUCGCUCAACGAUGGAACGGCCAUUGAUACUGUUAGACUUGAAUUACAAGGAAGUAACUAGAAUAUGUAGUGUAGCGGUGAAAUGCUUAGAUAUUACAUGGAAUACCAAUUGCGAAGGCAGGUUACUACUUGUGGAUUGACGCUGAUGGACGAAAGCGUGGGGAGCGAACAGGAUUAGAUACCCGAGUAGUCC
rnacentral:rRNA from 1 species